CUUGUCAGUCAGCUGGACGUUCGGCAUCGCUGCCAGUUCCCAGCAAUAUUGACAUACAAGUAACUUCACAAGAUUUAGUUAGUUAGUAAUAAAGUAAAAUAAAAGCGUGUCAUUCAUAUGCUUUAUCUCUCUCUCUCUGGGCUGUCCUGUGACCUGCGGGUUGUGAGGAUGCUGAGGUCGCGCACUUUGGGGAACAGUGCGUCACAGACCUACAGCAAGCUGUGUGAAAGUCACAGCGAGUCCUGGAUGCGGAGUGGAAUACGGUACCUCGGGGAGUGCGAGCAGUUUCUGGCCUUGGGCACUGGGCGGCAGUUCACUGAUCUACCGGAGAUGCCCCCGGUGCCCUCACCCGUCUGGCUGCUGACAGUCUACAGCCAUGACGUGCUGUCGCGGCUGGACGAGGUGAAGGCCAGGGUCACCUCCAUCUUUGGGUCCAUCUUAAAGAUGGACUCUACCAAGAAGGUGACUAAAAAGCUUGCGGGUACCGCUGCAGACACGGCCGCCUGGGUUACCAACGUCGGUAAUGAGCAUGGACUGGUCCUCGUCAGUGUCGUCACUGCCGGUGAGGGCGAGGGCUGCUCCCCAAGGCGGCUGGUCUCAUGGAGUGGUACAGGCUCGCCGGGGUGGCGCCCCCCCAGCUCAUGUACGUGGACUGAGACUGCUGCUCCAGCUUUGGUGGAUCAAAGACAGCUGCCAUGUACAAUGAGUGGGACCAGCUGGUGAUUCGGCUGGACAUCUGGCACCUGAUGCGGCGGUUUGCGCCAGGUGUCACCACUGAGAGCCACCAGCUCUACAGUCCCUUCAUGCGGCAGCUGUCAGCCUGCAUCUUUGAGUGGGAUGCAGGCGAUGUCCGCCGACUGCUGGAGGCCAAGACGUCUGCGCUGGAGGGGAGGCACGGGAUGGUCGGCCUCACCGAGGAGGAGGUUUCGAGGCUGAUCGGCAGGAAGGAGAUUGCACUUCACUGUCGGGGUUGUACGCGUGGAGCUGCGGCGACCGAAGUCCUUCUCCUUGACCUCCUCGAGACCUUCAACAGCGAGAAGGGGGUCGACACCCUGGGCAUCCCGUUGCUGGACUCCAUCCGCAUCCAGGCAAUCUGGAAAGAGCGGAGGCGCCACCUCUACUGUAUACAGGACCCACGAGAUCGGCAACUGCCGGUUUAUCGCUGAGCACGGGGCUCCACAUCCUUGGAGUCAUUCCACCUCAACCGGUACCAGGGCAAAUGCAAUGCAUUUCCAGGCAUUCCUGUUGGAUGGACCGAUGAGGUGGAACGAGGACCGUGCGCAGGCAGCAGUGGAGGGAAAGAACAGGCAGCCCCUGCUCUCCUACAGUGGCCACCUGCAGCACAUCCUUAACCUGAGCAGCCAAAGGGUGCUUGGCAAGGAACAGGAUUUUUAUUUUGUUGCUUUAAUAGGGGAACUUCUCGGAGUGGAGUACCUGUACUCGCAGACUGGCAGAGUGCUGCAGGAUGUCAGCGUGGACCCUGACCUUCCUGGAAGAGGCAGCCGCCGUCGAGCAGCUCGACGAGGAGGACGAGGGCUUUCAGGAGAAUGUGGACCCGACAGUCCACAUCCCUCAUGUCACUCAUAUGAGCGCCCCGUCCUCCAGCUCAGCGGCACCUCUGUCAGGGGAACCCGCUGACGCACCCAGGUCUGGGCCAUCCAGUCCCACCGCCCCUGAAGACGGAGGCUCUCCUGAGGCCCCUGGUCGACACGGUUCUCCUCACCCUGACCACUCCUCUGAUUCAGGGGGAGAAGCAAGGCCCUGAUGCAAUGCCGGGCUACCAGCAUGUCCGCAGGCUUGCCAGGGCCUUGGUGGGGGUGAGGAACCGUCAGGGGCUGUCGGACCGCAGGGUAGACGGUCUGGUGGCGCUGUGGCUGGCGCUUGAUCUACCCUGCCCGACACCAGGAGAGGAUCGUUCAGGGGCGGUUCAAGGCAACGAAGGGGAAGUCGUCCAUUGUCGUAGAAAAAGACUCUCUCCAACGUUGCCUUCUUGGACUCAACUCGGGCCCUGCAAAUUGGCCGGGCACCAGCCGUUUGGUGGAGGCCAUUUGCAGUCAGCUCUGCCAAAUCCAUCCCAGCGCCAUCAGCCUACUUUAUGAUACAGAAUGCAGGGAUGUGUACUGAACCUGUACCCAUAAUAAAACAAAGUGCUCUAUGGUCAAAUGCAUCUAAAGGCUUUAAUGAAGUGGCAUCUGCAUUCAUAUAGAUGAUUUUGCAAUAGUCUAGGACCAGUAAGAACAUAGAUUGAAUUAUCUGCUUUGUAUUAUUAAGCAAGAGGCCUGACCUAUUUCUAUAGAAGAAGACCCUUUUUAUAUUCAGCAUCUUAAUUAACUCAUCAUUAUGUUUUAAAAAAAGACAACUUAACGUAUUUACUGAUACACCACCGUACUAGGGACGUACACUUCAAUCAUUAGAAUAAUUUUUGUGUACUCUAGAAAACAACAUACUUAGUUUUCCAUGUAUUCAAUAAUAAUUUAAGGUCAAAGUUUUUCUGCAAAAUAUUGAAAGCAUAAUGUAGUUCAGAUAGAGCAUGAUCAGCAGGGCGGGCGAUAGAGUACUCAACCGUAUCGUCUGCAUACAGGUGCAGGUAAAACAUUAUUAUUAUAUAUUUCUGACAAAACAAUAUUAUUAAUGUAUAAAAUAGUUGUUUAUUAGACAUUCUAACAUAACACAAUAUCUAGAUACUAAAACAUGUAUAUGCAACAUUUGAACAACAAUUUCGACCCCCUCGGGUUAUAAAGUAUAUGACAUGACGACACAUUGGCUAUUUUAGUAUUCCUUUUUU